rnacentral:rRNA from 1 species
CCUACGGGUGGCAGCAGUGGGGAAUAUUGGACAAUGGGGGGAACCCUGAUCCAGCCAUGCCGCGUGUGUGAAGAAGGCCCUCGGGUUGUAAAGCACUUGCAGUGAGGAAGAACGCCUGGUGGUUAAUACCCAUCAGGAAAGACAUCACUCACAGAAGAAGCACCGGCUAACUCCGUGCCAGCAGCCCCGGUAAUACGGAGGGUGCGAGCGUUAAUCGGAAUUACUGGGCGUAAAGCGCGCGUAGGUGGCUUGAUAAGCCGGUGGUGAAAGCCCCGGGCUCAACCUGGGAACGGCAUCCGGAACUGUCAAGCUAGAGUGCAGGAGAGGAGGGUAGAAUUCCCGGUGUAGCGGUGAAAUGCGUAGAGAUCGGGAGGAAUACCAGUGGCGAAGGCGGCCUUCUGGACUGACACUGACACUGAGGUGCGAAAGCGUGGGUAGCAAACAGGAUUAGAUACCCGGGUAGUC